UUCCAUUCCUUGCAUGCUUACUUAGUAGUGUAGCGGUAUGGGCUUGACACUUGGACUAGGGAGGUAUGAGGAUUGGGUCUUGAGACAAAGAAUCCUAUAGUGGCAAAAGUGAUGAACUUGGACAUAGCCUAGUAGAGUGGCAUUGACUAGUGUAGUAGAAACACUAAACUUGAACGAGUGGCAUGUCGACUAGUUAGAAGAUAUUACUACAACGAUUGAACGAGUGGCAUCAAGUCUAGUGUAGUAAACAUGA
rnacentral:lncRNA from 1 species